GUGGGGAAUAUUGGACAAUGGGCGCAAGCCUGAUCCAGCCAUGCCGCGUGAGUGAUGAAGGCCUUAGGGUUGUAAAGCUCUUUUGUCCGGGAAGAUAAUGACUGUACCGGAAGAAUAAGCCCCGGCUAACUUCGUGCCAGCAGCCGCGGUAAUACGAAGGGGGCUAGCGUUGUUCGGAAUCACUGGGCGUAAAGCGCACGUAGGCGGACCAUUAAGUCAGGGGUGAAAGCCUGGAGCUCAACUCCAGAACUGCCUUUGAUACUGAUGGUCUCGAGUAUGGAAGAGGUUGGUGGAACUGCGAGUGUAGAGGUGAAAUUCGUAGAUAUUCGCAAGAACACCGGUGGCGAAGGCGGCCAACUGGUCCGAAACUGACGCUGAGGCGCGAAAGCGUGGGGAGCAAACAGGAUUAGAAACCCGUGUAGUCC
rnacentral:rRNA from 1 species